GAUGAACGCUAGCUACAGGCUUAACACAUGCAAGUCGAGGGGAAACGCCAUCGAAAGCUUGCUUUUGAUGGGCGUCGACCGGCGCACGGGUGAGUAACGCGUAUCCAACCUGCCCAUCACUUGGGAAUAACCUUGCGAAAGUAAGACUAAUACCCAAUGAUAUCCCACGAAGGCAUCGGAAUGGGAUUAAAGAUUUAUCGGUGAUGGAUGGGGAUGCAUCUGAUUAGCUUGUUGGCGGGGUAACGGCCCACCAAGGCAACGAUCAGUAGGGGUUCUGAGAGGAAGGUCCCCCACAUUGGAACUGAGACACGGUCCAAACUCCUACGGGAGGCAGCAGUGAGGAAUAUUGGUCAAUGGGCGAGAGCCUGAACCAGCCAAGUAGCGUGCAGGAAGACGGCCCUAUGGGUUGUAAACUGCUUUUAUAAGGGAAUAAAGUGGGUCACGUGUGACUUUCUGCAUGUACCUUAUGAAUAAGGACCGGCUAAUUCCGUG
rnacentral:rRNA from 1 species